CUAAAUACCCAAAGGAUGUGACUGUAGGAUAAAGGCAUGUUGUUUGGUGUAGUUUUAGUUUUAAAAUACACUGUAUGUACCUACUGUAAAAAUUUUAUCUGACAGCUACAUUCCCCAUUGAUACAACAAAAACAAGACUUCAGCUUCAAGGUCAACAUAUUGAUGUUGCCAACAAAGAAAUCAGAUACAAAGGAAUGUUUAGUGCCUUUGUGAGGAUAUCAAAGGAGGAAGGUGUCAGAGCUCUGUACAAUGG